rnacentral:rRNA from 1 species
UACGAAGGGGGCUAGCGUUGUUCGGAAUCACUGGGCGUAAAGCGCACGUAGGCGGAUCUUUAAGUCAGAGGUGAAAUCCCAAGGCUCAACCUUGGAUCUGCCUUUGAUACUGGGGAUCUUGAGUCCGGGAGAGGUGAGUGGAACUGCGAGUGUAGAGGUGAAAUUCGUAGAUAUUCGCAAGAACACCAGUGGCGAAGGCGGCUCACUGGCCCGGUACUGACGCUGAGGUGCGAAAGCGUGGGGAGCAAACAGG